rnacentral:lncRNA from 1 species
AACAUUUUCAUCAGGCAAUCUAAAUCAUUUGCUUUCUAGUUCUCUGCUCACCAGCUAGCCCCAUUGUGUACAGGGAGCCUUAUGGCUCACAGUGAAAAUUUGUAGGCAGGGACUGGGUUCUACUGUGAGCUGAGAUCCCUGGAGCUCCAUGAAAAGGAGAAAAAGAAUGCCGUGUUUCCUGGAUCUAUGGAGGCUCCAGGAGUGGUACAUACCAAGUAUGUGCCGAGUAAACCAACUUUAACUUGAAACUCAUAUAUCUGCUAUUACAAAUUUCACACAGCAGUUCUUAGUGUGAA